GAAACAUAUGGAUGAUGAACUGUUCUGAAAGAUGCUGUGACUAGAAGUGCUGAAACACGAGAUGCUGACUCAAAGGUGAAUUUAUAUAUACCAUUAUAUUUCUUUGGGUUUGUUCCAAAUAACAUUGGAAUGGAUUCUAAAAGCUGCUCUUUCUAUCUGGAGGAAAGAACAACAACAUUCAAAACCAUCUUCAACUUGUUGCCUUUCUUUGGAAUUUGCAAGUACUACUUUUUUUGCAGUUAGAAAUCUGAAACUUCAUUGUAGUUUAGUUUGUGCUGUACAAAACCAAUUUUGAAACUAUUUCUAUGCAGGAAAGAAGUAUCCAGCUUCCUCUCUGAACUGGCCCAUGGACUGCACAAGAAGAGAAGCAGGUCCUGGUGAUCCAACCCUGCCAGACACCCCACUGGAGAGCUAUGGAAAGCCUCCAAAGGGAAAUAGGCAAGAACUCAAGAGCCAGAUCUUCCUUCCCCAGGUCUUCCCCACCAGGAACUGGCAUGAGAAAACUUGAGAGACCCUUCUUUGCCUGUAAGCCCAUGUAGUUUUUUCCACUGGAGGUGGGGAAAUCACUGCCAGGAUUUAAUAGGAAAUGUAAUAGGGUUAACCUUAAUUUAAAUAAUUGUUAAGCUAUUAAAAUAGCUAUUAGCAUGCCCUAUCAUUUGCUAUCAGACAAAUGCAAAUAUGUGUCACCGCAUCAAUUCACAAGAACACAGAUUGGGAACUGAUAAUUGUUACUGUAGUUCCCACCCCAGAGAUCCAGGAGGUUUUUGUUACUAUAUGACGAACCUCAGCAUUUGCAAUAGCCUCUCUAUCUGCAGCAGCAAGCUGAGGUGGGUGUAGGCAGAAAUAUAAAGGCAUUUUCAUCCUCCUGCAUUUGCAAAACAGAUUUACCUUCAGUAAUGCAAAAUGGAAUAUGUCCAGAAUCUAACCUCUGAAUAUUUUUAUGUAGUUUUAUAGCAAUGAUCCCAUCCUGUUUCUGUUAAAGAUUCAACAUUUUAAUGAGCAAUGGAUGAACAAGAUCUUCUGGCCUGAGCCCUAGAAGUGCACUACUGUCUAUAAAAUAUGUGUUGUUAAGAGCCACUGCGGAGUCAAAUGGAGCAUUAUGUAAUUCUUUGGCAAAUGGGCUCUCUGUGUAAGUACUUGGAAGUUAUAAGUUUGUUAACUUUGUCUUCCCAAGCUGUAAAAGGGUCCCAUAAUAGCAAUUUCUCUUGGCUUGCCAGGCACAGAAAUUAACUCUAGAAAACUAUGUAACAGAAGAUUAAAAAUAAAGCAG
rnacentral:lncRNA from 1 species